rnacentral:rRNA from 1 species
AACCCAAAAGAUCGAAUGGGGAGAUUCAUCGUCAGCUUUAUCGGCUUGCGUGCUGCUCGCGAUGCUCGUUGGGUGUAGCGUUGGUAACAGCGUUGCAUUUUCUACGGGGACGCGGUGGCUGCGUAAUUUUUGUCCGGUCAAAGUCGGCGUGCACUUCUCCCCUAGUAGGACGUCGCGACCCGUUGAGUGUCGGUUUAAGGCCCGCGAGGUUGCCUGCCGGUCGAUU